rnacentral:rRNA from 1 species
GAUGAACGCUGGCGGCGUGCCUAAUACAUGCAAGUCGAGCGAACAGACGAGGAGCGUGCUCCUCUGACGUUAGCGGCGGACGGGUGAUGAACACGUGGAUAACCUACCUAUAAGACUGGGAUAACUUCGGGAAACCGGAGCUAAUACCGGAUAAUAUAUUGAACCGCAUGGUUCAAUAGUGAAAGACGGUUUUGCUGUCACUUAUAGAUGGAUCCGCGCCGCAUUAGCUAGUUGGUAAGGUAACGGCUUACCAAGGCAACGAUGCGUAGCCGACCUGAGAGGGUGAUCGGCCACACUGGAACUGAGACACGGUCCAGACUCCUACGGGAGGCAGCAGUAGGGAAUCUUCCGCAAUGGGCGAAAGCCUGACGGAGCAACGCCGCGUGAGUGAUGAAGGUCUUCGGAUCGUAAAACUCUGUUAUUAGGGAAGAACAAAUGUGUAAGUAACUAUGCACGUCUUGACGGUACCUAAUCAGAAAGCCACGGCUAACUACGUG